rnacentral:rRNA from 1 species
GUGGGGAAUAUUGGGCAAUGGGCGAAAGCCUGACCCAGCAACGCCGCGUGAAGGAAGAAGGUCUUCGGAUCGUAAACUUCUAUCCUUGGUGAAGAUAAUGACGGUAGCCGAGAAGGAAGCCCCGGCUAACUACGUGCCAGCAGCCGCGGUAAUACGUAGGGGGCAAGCGUUGUCCGGAAUGAUUGGGCGUAAAGGGCGCGUAGGCGGCCUGGUAAGUCUGGAGUGAAAGUCCUGCUUUUAAGGUGGGAAUUGCUUUGGAUACUGUCGGGCUUGAGUGCAGGAGAGGUAAGUGGAAUUCCCGGUGUAGCGGUGAAAUGCGUAGAGAUCGGGAGGAACACCAGUGGCGAAGGCGACUUACUGGACUGUAACUGACGCUGAGGCGCGAAAGUGUGGGGAGCAAACAGGAUUAGAUACCCGUGUAGUCC